rnacentral:lncRNA from 1 species
GGGUGGAGUUGGUGCGGUAGCUCCAAAAAAUAAUGCACAAAAUGCUGAAGUUCUUAGGCGAUAGAAGUGAAAAAAAAAAGCUAAGAUAGAAUUUAUCCUGAAGCGAUUUAUUUCUCAUAGAUUGUUUGAUCAUAUUAUAUGGUGUAGUUAGCAAAUGAAAUAUGGGAGACCCUUGACAGAUUGUUCAACAAAAAGGAUAUGGCUCGACUGCAAAUGC